CUGUCAUAAAUCCAUUGUAAAUGUUUGUUUUUGUUAUUUUGUGGGAAGAACUUAAUGUGUAUGUAGACAUAUGCCGCAGUCACAUUAUACUGACUCAUUCUCUGUGGUAUUGUUUUAGUGCUCCCAAUCAAAAGAGGGAAUGUUCAUUUUCUAAAUUCCAUAAAUUACGUGUAGUUCUUCAACAAGUCAGCAGGGGGCUCUAGAAUCUAACUAUAAAUGUGCUACAGAAACUGGAACAGACAGUGCCAUGAAGUCCUGUGCAAAAUCGAGUUACUUUCAAAGAGGAAUUAAUUUUGGUUUCAGCAGUAUUUCCCCUGACAAUUACAGCAUAGUUGCUAAGAGAAUCCUUGUAUCGAGACUCACCAUGAAGGGUUGCUUACAAACUCAACUGUUCUUGAAGCAAGUUUGGAAUUUCAAUUAUGGUAACAAAAAAUGCCAUUGUCCCAGAGGACCAGAGUGUUACUCUCUCAUUAGAGAGAGAUGGCUGAUGCUGGAUUUAACCUGAGGGUCACUACAACUCAGGUGAGCAGUGAAGCAGGUCCUAUGUGGUGAGCUCAGCUGGUGCGAGAAUUGUCGGCAUCACUCUGACUCUACAUGACCAAAAAUGGUCUAAAGGAAUUCAAUUUUUCUGUAUUGUUCAGCGUCUUAUCCAGCCUAGCUGGAAUGAUACUCUCCCUGAGUUACCUGAAUAUAAUAAAUAUAAACUUGCACUCA